rnacentral:misc_RNA from 1 species
GGAGGUAUUUUAAUACUCUCAAGACUCUGUGCUUAAAGUUAGAAUGAAAUUAGACUGAAAAAAGAAUUGCUAGAAUGAAAUUGUAUUGUUGGGUUAGCUGAAAGGUUUUGAAGUAACUUUUGUAUUAAGGAUGGCGGUACUUACAGGUAGAAUUGGACGAUCAGUACACAUUGUAGUUCUGCAUCCUGAUGCCAAGGAGCAAGCAAGAAAAUCAGAGUUUUUCGUUUAGCUGAAAAUUUAU